rnacentral:rRNA from 1 species
GAUUUCUGGCUAGGCAAACCACUCCCGGCUCCUCACGGAGACGUGUGUGCUGCGUGUGCCUUCCAUCCUUUUGGCUAACCUAUGUCACUUCACUGGGAUGUAGGCAACCCAAAUCUUUUACUUUGAAAAAAUUAGAGUGUUUAAAGCAGGCUUUUGCUAUGAAUACAUUAGCAUGGAAUAAUAAUCUAGGACUUUCGGUUCUAUUUUGUUGGUGUUCUGGAGCUGAAGUAAUGAUUGAUAGGGAUAGUUGGGGGUGCUAGUAUUCAAUGGCCAGAGGUGAAAUUCUCGGAUUCCUUGAAGACUAACUUAUGCGAAAGCAUU